rnacentral:rRNA from 1 species
CCUUCGGGGUUAGUGGCGCACGGGUGCGUAACGCGUGGGAACCUGCCUUUAGGUUCGGAAUAACAGUUAGAAAUGACUGCUAAUACCGGAUAAUGUCUUCGGACCAAAGAUUUAUUGCCUUUAGAUGGGCCCGCGUUGGAUUAGAUAGUUGGUGGGGUAAUGGCCUACCAAGUCGACGAUCCAUAGCUGGUCUGAGAGGAUGAUCAGCCACACUGGGACUGAGACACGGCCCAGACUCCUACGGGAGGCAGCAGUGGGGAAUAUUGGACAAUGGGCGAAAGCCUGAUCCAGCAAUGCCGCGUGAGUGAUGAAGGCCUUAGGGUUGUAAAGCUCUUUUACCAGGGAUGAUAAUGACAGUACCUGGAGAAUAAGCUCCGGCUAACUCCGUGCCAGCAGCCGCGGUAAUACGGAGGGAGCUAGCGUUGUUCGGAAUUACUGGGCGUAAAGCGCACGUAGGCGGCUUUUCAAGUCAGGGGUGAAAUCCCGGGGCUCAACCCCGGAACUGCCCUUGAAACUGGAUGGCUAGAAUACUGGAGAGGUGAGUGGAAUUCCGAGUGUAGAGGUGAAAUUCGUAGAUAUUCGGA